CACCCGUGUCUAUCGUACCUUGUUGCUUCGGCGGGCCCGCCGUUUCGACGGCCGCCGGGGAGGCCUUGCGCCCCCGGGCCCGCGCCCGCCGAAGACCCCAACAUGAACGCUGUUCUGAAAGUAUGCAGUCUGAGUUGAUUAUCGUAAUCAGUUAAAACUUUCAACAACGGAUCUCUUGGUUCCGGCAUCGAUGAAGAACGCAGCGAAAUGCGAUAAGUAAUGUGAAUUGCAGAAUUCAGUGAAUCAUCGAGUCUUUGAACGCACAUUGCGCCCCCUGGUAUUCCGGGGGGCAUGCCUGUCCGAGCGUCAUUGCUGCCCUCAAGCACGGCUUGUGUGUUGGGCCCCCGUCCCCCUCUCCCGGGGGACGGGCCCGAAAGGCAGCGGCGGCACCGCGUCCGGUCCUCGAGCGUAUGGGGCUUUGUCACCUGCUCUGUAGGCCCGGCCGGCGCCAGCCGACACCCAACUUUAUUUUUCUAAGGUUGACCUCGGAUCAGGUAGGGAUACCCGCUGAACUUA
rnacentral:rRNA from 1 species